UUCGCUGACGAGUGGCGGACGGGCGAGUAAUGUCUGGGAAACUGCCUGAUGGAGGGGGAUAACUACUGGAAACGGUAGCUAAUACCGCAUAACGUCGCAAGACCAAAGAGGGGGACCUUCGGGCCUCUUGCCAUCGGAUGUGCCCAGAUGGGAUUAGCUAGUAGGUGGGGUAACGGCUCACCUAGGCGACGAUCCCUAGCUGGUCUGAGAGGAUGACCAGCCACACUGGAACUGAGACACGGUCCAGACUCCUACGGGAGGCAGCAGUGGGGAAUAUUGCACAAUGGGCGCAAGCCUGAUGCAGCCAUGCCGCGUGUAUGAAGAAGGCCUUCGGGUUGUAAAGUACUUUCAGCGGGGAGGAAGGGAGUAAAGUUAAUACCUUUGCUCAUUGACGUUACCCGCAGAAGAAGCACCGGCUAACUCCGUGCCAGCAGCCGCGGUAAUA
rnacentral:rRNA from 1 species